rnacentral:rRNA from 1 species
GAUGAACGCUGGCGGCGUGCCUAAUACAUGCAAGUCGAACGAAUCUUCUUCGGAAGAUGAGUGGCGAACGGGUGAGUAAUACAUAGGUAACCUGCCCCUGUGCGGGGGAUAACAGGAGGAAACUCCUGCUAAUACCGCAUAGCCAUGAGCACCGCAUGGAGCUCAUGCCAAAUAUCCUUUAUGGGAUAGCGCAGGGAUGGACCUAUGGCGCAUUAGCUGGUUGGCGGGGCAACGGCCCACCAAGGCAACGAUGCGUAGCCGGCCUGAGAGGGCGGACGGACACAUUGGGACUGAGACAGGGCCCAGACUCCUACGGGAGGCAGCAGUAGGGAAUUUUCGGCAAUGGGGGAAACCCUGACCGAGCAACGCCGCGUGAGCGAAGAAGGCCUUCGGGUCGUAAAGCUCUGUUGUAAAGGAAGAACGGCGCAUACAGGAAAUGGUAUGCGAGUGACGGUACUUUACCAGAAAGCCACGGCUAACUACGUGCCAGCCGCCGCGGUAA